ACCCAGCUGACGAGUCUCAAAUAAGACAAAACGAGCGUCCUGGAU
rfam:Schistosoma mattheei strain Denwood, Zambia genome assembly, scaffold: SMTD_scaffold0017380